CCCAUGACCCCUUGUGACCCCAUGACCCCUUGUGACCCCAUGACCCCAUGUGACCUUGUGACCCAUGUGACCCCAUGACCCCUUGUAACCCCAUGACCCCAUGUGACCCCAUGACCCCUUGUGUGCCCAUGUGACCCCCCUGACCCCUUGUGACCCCAUGUGACCCCAUGACCCCUUGUGACCCCGUGACCCCAUGUGACCCCAUGUGACCCCAUGUGACCCCGUGACCCCGUGUGACCCCUCAGCGCUCUGCACAUCGCUGUGGCUCACGGUUCGGUUCCUGUGACCCGGCUCCUCCUCGCUCUGUUCAUAAAGGGACGGUGCAACGUCGACGUCUACAACAGGAUGAGACAGACCCCCCUCCACCUGGCGGUCAUUACUGGUCACCCCGUGCUGGUCCGCCUCCUAUUGACCCCAUAGGGACACAUACAGACCCCAUAGACCCCAUAGAGACUCAUAGAGACCCCUAUAUCCCCCCUAACCCCAUAUAUCCCCCCAUAUAUCCCCUCAUAUCCCCCCAUAGGGACACAUAGGGACCCAUAGACCCCCUAGGGACCCCAUAGACCCCAUAGGGACACAUACAGACCCCAUAGACCCCAUAGGGACCCUAUAGACCCCAUAGGGACCCAUAGAGACCCAUAGAGACCCAUAGAGACACAUAGGGACCCAUAGGGACACAUAGAGACCCAUAGACACCAUAGGGACACAUAGGGACCCAUAGACCCCAUAGGGACUCCAUAGACCCCAUGGGGACACAUACAGACCCCAUAGGGACACAUAGACCCCAUAGGGACCCAUAGAGACCCAUAGAGACCCAUAGGGACCCAUAGAGACCAUAGAGACCCAUAGGGACCCAUACAUCCCCCCUAACCCCAUAUAUCCCCCCAUAUAUCCCCCCAUAU
rnacentral:lncRNA from 1 species